rnacentral:tRNA from 1 species
GCCGAAGUGGUGGAACUGGUAGACACGCACGCUUGAGGGGCGUGUGGGGCGACUCGUGGGAGUUCAAAUCUCCCCUUCGGCACCA